GUCUUUAUGGAGGUUUAUAAAGUCUAACCUGCCCAUUGGGAACUAAAAGGCCGCGGUAUUAUGACCGUGCAAAGGUAGCAUAAUCAUUAGUUUUUUAAUUGAAGGCUAGAAUGAAUGGUUGGACAAGAAAUAAUCUGUCUUAAAUUAAUAUAUUGAAUUUAACUUUUAAGUGAAAAGGCUUAAAUAAUCUGGAGGGACGAUAAGACCCUAUAAAACUUUAUAUUUAUAAUAUAGUAGUUAGUUUUAUUUAGGGGUACUAUUUUAGAGUAUUUGGUUGGGGUGACAAGGAUAAAAUAUUAAAUAACUGUCUUUUUUUUUUUACAGUGAUGUUUGGUUUAAUGAUCCUAAAAGGGAUUAAAGAUUAAGUUACUUUAGGGAUAACAGCGUAAUUUUCUUUAAGAGUUCUUAUCGACAAGAAAGUUUGCGACCUCGAUGUUGAAUUAAAAGUUCUUUAUAGAGUAGAGACUAUAAUAGAAGGUCUGUUCGACCUUUAAAAUUUUACAUGAUUUGAGUUCAAACCGG
rnacentral:rRNA from 1 species